rnacentral:rRNA from 1 species
AGUGAACGCUGGCGGUAGGCCUAACACAUGCAAGUCGAACGGCAGCACAGUAAGAGCUUGCUCUUACGGGUGGCGAGUGGCGGACGGGUGAGGAAUACAUCGGAAUCUACUUUUUCGUGGGGGAUAACGUAGGGAAACUUACGCUAAUACCGCAUAUGACCUACGGGUGAAAGCAGGGGAUCUUCGGACCUUGCGCGAUUGAAUGAGCCGAUGUCGGAUUAGCUAGUUGGCGGGGUACAGGCCCACCAAGGCGACGAUCCGUAGCUGGUCUGAGAGGAUGAUCAGCCACACUGGAACGUAGACACGGUCCAGACUCCUACGGGAGGCAGCAGUGGGGAAUAUUGGACAAUGGGCGCAAGCCUGAUCCAGCCAUACCGCGUGGGUGAAGAAGGCCUUCGGGUUGUAAAGCCCUUUUGUUGGGAAAGAAAAGCAGCAGGUUAAUACCCCGCUGUUCUGACGGUACCCAAAGAAUAAGCACCGGCUAACUUCGUG